rnacentral:tRNA from 1 species
CGAACAGCUGGUACAGGAACGCGGCCUCGUUGCUGGCGCGGCCCGAGGUAUAGAAGGCCGCCUGGUUCGGAUCCGGCAGUGCGC